rnacentral:rRNA from 1 species
GACGAACGCUGGCGGCGUGCUUAACACAUGCAAGUCGAACGCUGAAGCUCAGCUUUUGUUGGGUGGAUGAGUGGCGAACGGGUGAGUAACACGUGAGUAACCUGCCUCCUUCUUUGGGAUAACGCCCGGAAACGGGUGCUAAUACUGGAUAUUCACUGGUCUUCGCAUGGGGGUUGGUGGAAAGGGUUUUUCUGGUGGGGGAUGGGCUCGCGGCCUAUCAGCUUGUUGGUGGGGUGAUGGCCUACCAAGGCUUUGACGGGUAGCCGGCCUGAGAGGGUGACCGGUCACAUUGGGACUGAGAUACGGCCCAGACUCCUACGCGAGGCAGCAGUGGGGAAUAUUGCACAAUGGGCGCAAGCCUGAUGCAGCGACGCCGCGUGAGGGAUGGAGGCCUUCGGGUUGUGAACCUCUUUCGCUCAUGGUCAAGCCGCAACAAUGGUUGUGGUGAGGGUAGUGGGUAAAGAAGCGCCGGCUAACUACGUG